rnacentral:rRNA from 1 species
AGAUAUCUUCGGAUAUUGAGACCGGCGCACGGGUGCGUAACGCGUAUGCAAUCUACCUUAUACAGGGGGAUAGCCCAGAGAAAUUUGGAUUAAUACCCCAUAGUAUAGUUGAAUGGCAUCAUUUGACUAUUAAAGUUCCAACGGUAUAAGAUGAGCAUGCGUCCCAUUAGCUAGUUGGUGUGGUAACGGCACACCAAGGCAACGAUGGGUAGGGGUCCUGAGAGGGAGAUCCCCCACACUGGUACUGAGACACGGACCAGACUCCUACGGGAGGCAGCAGUGAGGAAUAUUGGUCAAUGGGCGCAAGCCUGAACCAGCCAUGCCGCGUGCAGGAUGACGGUCCUAUGGAUUGUAAACUGCUUUUGUACAGGAAGAAACACUCCCUCGUGAGGGAGCUUGACGGUACUGUAAGAAUAAGGAUCGGCUAACUCCGUGCCAGCAGCCGCGGUAAUACGGAGGAUCCAAGCGUUAUCCGGAAUCAUUGGGUUUAAAGGGUCCGUAGGCGGUUUUAUAAGUCAGUGGUGAAAUCUGGUCGCUCAACGAUCAAACGGCCAUUGAUACUGUAAGACUUGAAUUACUUGGAAGUAACUAGAAUAUGUAGUGUAGCGGUGAAAUGCUUAGAGAUUACAUGGAAUACCAAUUGCGAAGGCAGGUUACUACAAGUGGAUUGACGCUGAUGGACGAAAGCGUGGGGAGCGAACAGGAUUAGAUACCCUGGUAGUCCACGCCGUAAACGAUGGAUACUAGCUGUUCGGUGCAAACUGAGUGGCUAAGCGAAAGUGAUAAGUAUCCCACCUGGGGAGUACGCUCGC